GUUUGGUUAACAACAUUCUUCAAAAUAUCUUUUGUGUUCUGUAGAAGACAGACAGUAAUACAGGUUUGGAACAACAGAAGGUUUAUGGAUCUUAUCGCCUGCAACAUUGGGGGUGUAUUUGGAGCCAUCGUGACAGUGACUGCAUCAGCUGUAGGGGCAGAAUCAUCACAUGACUAGCUGUCAGUUUUAUUGAAAUUAGUUUGUGGUCUGGAUCAUGUCAUCUGCAAUACAUUCCAGUUGGAGCAUUUUCUUGUGAUGGCCAUCGUAACGGUGAUAACAUCAACUGGUAAGUUAAAGGUUGUUGUUUUUUUUGAUCAUUAUCCAUUCCCUGGGAAUCAACCCCAUUAUUUCAGCAAUAUAACACUAAGCUCUCAAUGGCAAAUGCAGAAACAUUAAUUCGUGUGUUCAUGACCUCAAAGUUAGAUACUGUAAUGCUUUACUGGGUGGUUGCUCUGCACGCUUAAUAAACAAACUCCAGCUGGUCCAAAAUUCAGCAGCUAGAGUUCUUACUAGAACCAGAAAGUAUGACCAUAUUAGCCCCGGUUGUGUCAACACUGCACUGGCUCCCUAUUAAACAUCGUAUAGAUUUUAAAAUCUUGCUAGUUACUUAUAAAGCCCUGAAUGGUUUAGCAUUUUAGUACUUAGGUGAGCUCUUCUCAAAACUCAAAACAAGCAAUUUGAUAAUACCUAGAAUAUCAAAACCAACUGCGGGCGGCAGAUAAUUUUCUUAUUUAGCAUCCAAACUCUGGAACAAUCUACCUUCAGGAUGCAGACACACUCUGUCAGUUUAACCUGGCUUACACAUAACACAUUAACACAUUUCUAUAUUUCAAAUCUGUUAAAAAUUGCUAGGCUGCAUUAAUUAGAUCGGAACCGAAAACCCUUUCCAUAACACCUGAUGUACUUGUUGCAUCGUAAGAAGAAUGGCAUCUACGCUAAUAUUAGUCUGUUUCUUUCUUAUUCCGAGGUCACCUUAACCACCAGAUCCAGUCUGUAUCCAGAACAGAUGAUGGAUCAGCACCUAGAGAUGACCUCUACAGCCCUGAAUGUCAGCGGAGACCACUUCAACUAGAUGAGCCCCAGAGACAGAUCCACAGUGAAGGCCUCCUCACACAGACAGCCAUCGGCAUAAGACCACAGGAACCAGAUGAAUGCAAGAAUGCGUUAUAAGGAAUGGAGCUUAAAUGAUUUGUGAUGGAUCAACUAAUCAUGCACCUUCCUUGUUCAUUCCAAGAAUUAAUUCUGGUGGCACCAAAUACCAUUGAGAUUCACAGAUCAGAUGGAAUUCCUGAAAGAGGGUGCAAAGAAAAAGCAUCAGCCUAAAUCCCCUCAUCAGAGAGCUUGUCAACUUUGCCAAAAUUACUGAAAUUUAACACAACAACACAUACUAAUUUUUACUGUAUUUUAUUUCUGUAAAGCCUGUUUUGCUAUCAUCUGUAUUUUUAAAAAGAAAAUGUUCAACAAUUAAAAAGAAUAUUAUAAAGACAAAUGCUAAUGAGUUAUUGUGAUUUUUAUGGGGUUGGGGUUGUAAAAAAAAUAAAUAAAUAAAAAAAAUGGUAUAUAGUAUUGUACCACGAUUGGAUUGUUUUAUAAAAAAUGAAAAUAAACUGAACAGUCCUAAUUCUGAAAAUGCAGUAAUAAUACUUUAAAUUAAAAUACAGUAAAUACAUCAAGUAAAACUUACAGCAAUCUCUUAAGAGUGUAGUUUAGG